GACGAACGCUGGCGGCGUGCUUAACACAUGCAAGUCGAACGGGCCCGCCCCUGUUUUUGGGGGUGGGUUGAGUGGCGAACGGGUGAGUAUCACGUGAGUAACCUGCCCCCUGCUCCUGGAUAACUGCUUGAAAGGGCGGCUAAUACGGGGUGUGCCGGCUGGUCCGCAUGGGCCUGGUCGGGAUAGUUUCAUCUUCGGGUGUUUCGGUGGGGGAUGGGCUCGCGGCCUAUCAGCUUGUUGGUGGGGUGAUGGCCCACCAAGGCGGUGACGGGUAGCCGGCCUGAGAGGGUGGGCGGCCACACUGGGACUGAGACACGGCCCAGACUCCUGCGGGAGGCAGCAGUGGGGGGUAUUGCACAAUGGGCGGAAGCCUGAUGCAGCGACGUCGCGUGAGGGAUGGAGGCCUUGGGGUUGUGAACCUCUUUCUCCGGUGGUGAAGGCCCUGUCCGUUGCGGCGGGGUUGACGGUAGCCGGGUAUGAAGCGCCGGCUAACUACGUG
rnacentral:rRNA from 1 species